UACGUAGGGGGCAAGCGUUGUCCGGAUUUACUGGGCGUAAAGCGCACGUAGGCGGCUUUGUAAGUUAGAGGUGAAAGCCCGGGGCUCAACUCCGGAACUGCCUUUAAGACUGCAUCGCUAGAAUUGUGGAGAGGUAAGUGGAAUUCCGAGUGUAGAGGUGAAAUUCGUAGAUAUUCGGAAGAACACCAGUGGCGAAGGCGACUUACUGGACACAUAUUGACGCUGAGGCGCGAAAGCUAGGGGAGCAAACAGG
rnacentral:rRNA from 1 species